GAAAACUUCCAACUCUGUGAUUUUGCAAGAGCAGAAUACUUCGGGGCAAAUAAACUGGCAAAAUUCAGGAAGGAGAUGUCUGAGAGCCCAGAGAGAAGGAGGAGAUGAAGACAAUUUUUCAGGUUAAAGAGAUGGUAUGAUGGACAUGAAUACUAGAGAAAUGGAGUGAGAAAAAAUGUUUUGAAGGUCCGUAAGGAUGGGAAAGCAGGAUUAUCGCUAAAGAAAAGAGGAGAGAAAUCUCAGUUGUUCUUGUCCCCAUGUUUUUGUUUCCUACUAUGAGAAGGUCUUCACUGGGAUGGGAUUCCUGUCUCAGCUGGUGAUAGGAAACUCUUUUAGUUUUUGAAGGAGUUUUUGAUGAUACGUUUCCUGUUUGCUUCAGAGGGAUGAGGGGAAAUGCAGGUAGAACAAUCGAUCAAAUGAUGGAUUUACAACCUGAAGGAAAAGAAAAACGUAAUGGCCAGCUCUCAUUGGACUUGGAUUCACCUUAUUUCUCUGUAGAGAAGAACUUUUGACACUUGAAAAUUAUGAAAACAAACCAGGGAAAACCACAGAGAAACAUAUGGUAGGCUAGAAAUAUUACAAAAAAUCUGAUUUACAAGGUGUCCCAAAAAUACUUGUAUUUCUAAUUCCAGAACCUUGAGAUUUUGUGCCUGUACAAAUAGUUAACUUUCUUUUACAUCUUUCCAAAAAUGCAUGGCAAUCUAAACAUACAAAUGCUAACUCUAUAUCUGACAGUGAUCUAAUUACCUGAAUUUUAGGCACUGACUAGCUGUUUUUCAAAUGCCUGACCCUGUAAAAGCUGGAAAACCUAUAAAUAUUGAGUCACGCUAAAACAUAUUAACAUUUUGGAAACUCACACACAUAAACAAAAAAAUCAAAAUAAAGUACAUAGAAGUGAAGAAAGAAAAGAAGAGAUCCAGUCCUUAUAAGUUCAGAAAGAAUUUCUCUGAAAAAUGGUAAGAAAUACAUCCACAUUUGAAGACCUUUUCUUUGGACUAUGUCUGUUUUUCAUACUACAAUUUCCAAAAUUCAAUGACUGCUUUAGAAUGGAUGGACUUUGUUUAUAUACUUUGUAACAUCAAAUGCAUAUUUGACCCUAUGAGAUUCAUUUUAUUGUGAAAAUGAAAUGUCUCUUUUUAGUACCAAAAGUUCAGUUUGGCUAGAAGCAGCUUUUUAUGAUUACAUUUUUGACAGGAUAUUGCAAGCAGUGCCAUGAGAUUUAGCGGACCAUCUUUACAGCUUGUAUAUUGAAUAGUGAUUGUCACAAAGUUAGUAAAACAUUUAUGAUAGGUUGCUUCCAAGGUAUUCAUAAGCCAAAACUCCAUUCUUUCUGGGUCAUUCCUAUCUUAACAAAUUUUCAGUACCAAAAAAAUUGGUAAAACAACCUGUAUGAGGACAAAUAAAACAGCAAAACUAGUGGAUUAGAUGACAGAUUAGAUUUUAUUCCCCUUUUCUUUUAUAAUCCAGAAUAGCCUGUUCUAAAACAGUUUUCCCUUUUGAAGUAAAUCUGGAUAUGUAAUCAGCAAAAAGAUGGAUAGAUUUAAAAAUUCUGUUCUUUUUGCAUUAUUAUUUUCAGACAGAGCUUCUAAAUUAGAGAACAAAUCCCAGUAGAUUAGGUUUUAUGUGGAGAACAGCAGAGACAUGAUUAUUUUUACCUUCUAUUAAUUAUCAAAUGGGAAAAAAAAAAGGAAAUGAAAAUUGUUUGCCACUGAUUUUGCUGGGUUUGCCUUUCCUAAACAGCAACUUCUUGUAUUGAAUCACUGAUAAUGCCAUCUAGACAAACAAAAAGAUAGAAAAGUGGAUGGAGACAAUUUCAAUUAAUUUACACAAAACCCUUCUUGUACUUACCUAUAUGACCUUAUGUACCUGUCUUAGCGCUCACUGCAUCCCAGGCAUGCACAAAUUUAUCCUGGUCUCUUGUAUAGGAUGGUCAUUCUUUGCUUCAGCUGACUGUGCUUCUGUAUUUUGUUGUUUUUAUCCAUAUUUUCAGACCUUGCCUUAUUACUAUGAAAAUGCAUCAAAAAAAAUUAAAAAAGGUUGCAGGGGUUUUUCUGUUUCAGGAAAUAUACUUCAACAUAAUAGAGUAAGAGUUGGUAUUACCAUUUUAUCUUACAACUGUUAUCAGAGAUACAGCAUGAAACAUCAUACUAACUCUUUGCCUCUGUUCCUUCCUGCCACUCCAAUAUUUCCCUUGUUCCACUGGUUCAGGUCAAUAAACUUUUCUUAUUUUCCUUCAAGUUUUGACAACUGUGAUCUGGAUAAAACUGUUGGAACUAUACCAAGCCAUCAUAAAGUUUAUGGGAUUGAUGUGGGAAGCAAAGGUGUUAGAUGCUACAGAUAGAACCUUUCUGGUCAGAAGGGAAAAGGGGAAAGAAUACGUCAGGACUCACCUGCUAGUGAAUAAACAUGACAGCGCUCACACUACCAAAGAGCUGGUUUUUUUGGAGAACUACAUAAGGUUCUCUAAGUCCACGUGUACUUAAAAAGAGAUAUUGUAUUCAGAUUAAACAUAUAUAUAUAUUAUACAAUGAAUGUAAUUCAUAAUGUGUAUCAUAUUUAUGUUCCAUCUUGAUGGUAAAGAAGUGAUAUUUUGUCCCAGGAUGUAUCCUGGAGCAGCAGAUGUGAGAAGGCUGUUGGAAGCACAAAACUUAAUGUUUCCUGGGAUGUAGCAGCGUUGUCUGGAGGUUUAGCACAGGUUGUCUGUGCUUGGUGUUCACUUCUACUCAUGGCUGUGGGCCCUGAGAUGCAGAUGGAGAGCACCUACAGUGCCUUGGCCAUGCUGCAUUCCCCGCACACCUGUCAAAAUAGGUAGUAUGAUGCACUUUGAGAGCUUCCCUGAGUGAUCUGCUACCCAGUCUGUCUGGGAGGACCAGGGUGCAGUUUAGCAUGCAAUUGUUCUCUGUUUUCUGAAAAGCAUCAGCCUUUACUCAAUAGACACAGUUCAACCGCGGCUUUAAAUAUUAGGGCAGAACCAGCAAGUAGCAUUAUAUCAUUUCCUGAGCUAGAAAUUAUAGCCAAAAACCUAAUCGGAAGGAACUGCAGCCAAAUAUCAUCAAGUUGUAAUUAGCAGAGGACUACGUGUUACUUUUUGAAACCCACUCACUAUGAGGAUUUAAAAAUUACUUACUAAAUGGAAUGCAAAAAAUUUAAUUCAAAAAUUUUAAAAAAAAAUCACAAAAUUACUUACCAACUGGAACUCAAACUGCACUUGAAUGUGUCCCUCCUUUAUGUUUUCAGUAUGUUCUGUGACCUAUACUCUUACCUAAGCUGUCUAGAAGCAUUUGAUCUGCUUUUUCUUUUUUCCAAAAUCAGCCAGACAUUCUUGCUGCAGAGAAAGGACUUGGGAUUUCUAUAAUAUUUGAAGUCCUUAAAAGGCAUUGACAAACCCAACAGCCUGAGGAAACCUUUUGAAAGAUAUUCAGCUGCUAUUCAAGGACUCAUGUGGAUAGUGGAUUUAUCAUUUAAAAUGACUGCUUGCUUGUAGCCCCUAAUCAAGUACAGGCCCAGUUCAUCAGUAUCUGUAGAUCAGCUAUAUCUACCUUGGCAAAUAAUUCAGCACCAUGGGAGCAGGCUGGUAGAUCAGAGAAGACACUACAUCUACACUUCAAGUGUCUCAAUGUGUUUACAUCUGAACAGAUGCGGUUUGAUUCCCUAAAACAAACACCCCUGGCUGCAUGCAGUUUGGAGAUACUUUAAGGCACAGUCACUGAUCAUUCAUCCUAUGUGCAUUUUCGGGCUGAGAGAUGUGAUGGAGAGUUCUUUCUUAGUUGCUUAUGGAAUGAAUGGCGUUCACUUGUGCACAAACUACUUCUUACUCAGUGCCCAUGCAUGGGGACUGCAGAUUGUUCAGGACUUUGCUGUAAAAUGGCUUGAUUAUUCUAGAUCAAAACAGUGUACAGGGCGCUAACUUCAACACUUGUUCAUUGCAAAUGUAUUUUUGGCCAGUUCUGUUUAUCUCCAAAUACUGCAGGAAAUUUUGUAGAACAAACCUGACAAGAAGUGUAUUACAUGAAGGUAUAAUACGCAGAGCAGCUAAAAGAAAUAUAGGAGUUUGAGAACCUUUUCAUAAGAUCUUUUAACAACAAAAAAGUGCCAGUUCAAGUAAAAAUAUUAUUAAUAUUUGCCUUGCAGAAGGACUGGAUUUCAAGAGAAAGAAAAGUCUAAUUAUAUUCUAAAAUGAGUUAUGAGGAACUAAAAUUAUCCUUGGCUUGGCUGCUUUGGAGUCCAAACAUGUUCCGGAAAGUUGCAUUUUUCCUACGGUAAGCCAAAGGACAGAAGGAACAAAUGGGAAAAUGCAGAUUUUUUGAGAGAAGGAUUCCUUUUAUCUAUUGUGGGUUUUUUAGAACUUCUAAAAAAUUGCUCUGGUUUGUUGGGAAUUUACAAUUCUACCAAGUCUGAUAAGAAAUUUUGUCUGAACUGCCAGUGUAUUCAGCUGCCAAAAAAGGCAACCAUAGUGGCUAUGAAAUAUAAUUUGUUAAUAUAAUUUGUUACUAUAUUAGUAUUUUUAUUAAUAUUAGGAAGUAUUAGAGGCUUGGAUGAGCAGGAGAAAAUUAUGAGAUACAAGGGAGGACAAAGCAUCAUACAGAACUGUGACAGAAUAGGCAGUUGAUGUAAUUAGACUACAAAACAAAUUUAGUGUCUGAAAGACAAGAAAAGAACAUAUAAUCUUGGAUCAACUCAGCUCCAAAGGUUAUUGAGAUGGACCUGGACUUUCAUUGUAAAGGAAUCUUAAUUUGAUCAGAUUUUUCUGCUAACUUUGACAUUUCAUUUAUUUGGUUGUCGUGGUGCACCCUUCAUUCAAUGAGCUUUAACACUUAUAUAAUUAUAUAAAUUUUUUUCCCUUUAAUUUUAAAGUCCCUCAAUAUUUGGAGGGAGUUUGGCUCUGGGAUUUGCAUUCAAACUUAUCACAGUUUGUAAAACGUGUCUGUCAUGCUGAGGUACUCAUAUCACACAGAGGCUUACCCCAGAAUUUCCACAUAAUAAAUAGUUCAUCUAAAUGUUUAAAGUAAUUUGCAAAUACAGUAAUCUGGAGGAACAUUUCAGCUUCUUCACACCCAGCUACUAUAUAAAUAUAAGUAUAUGUGUUUAUUACAGUAUAUGUCUUCACUAGUAUUUGGUUUAGUAUCUGAAAAUGUCUUGUUUCCAUAAUUAAAUAUUUCAACUGAGAA